rnacentral:tRNA from 1 species
AGCUCAUCCGGAUAGAGCAUCAGCCUUCCAAGCUGAUGAUGCGGGUUCGAUUCCCGCUGCUCGCUCCA